GUUGUGGUUUAUGGUCCCAUAGUUGAAUUUGGCCAAUACUCCGGUUCUAGCAAUUUGAGCUAAGUGAACCAUGUUCUUUGUCGAUGUUGAUUGAGGUUCGUUCUUGAGAAAGAGUUGAACCGUAGAUGAAUUGAGACAACAAUUAUGGCCAGUGAUAGCAGUUAACAAAUCAUAGCAAUCGACUCCCGGACGAGUGCACAAGACUCUCAGAAGGUUCCCCACUUCCCUCCCUUUUGGAUUGAACUCUGCAAUACCCAACAGCGAUGUAAGCUUCUCGGGGAGGAGCGAUCGGGCAGCCAACGCUCCGAUAAUGGUGGUCAUAUGGCUGAGAUAUGCGAUGGGGCUCAAGAAUGCCACCGACUGCAAUUGGUUCACCAACUUUCCUUCCGACAACGAGGCUAGUACUAUUAGUGUUCCAAGAGAAUGGCCGACGUAGUGGAUCCUGU
rnacentral:misc_RNA from 1 species